rnacentral:rRNA from 1 species
GGUUAAGCGACUAAGCGUACACGGUGGAUGCCCUGGCAGUCAGAGGCGAUGAAGGGCGUGCUAAUCUGCGAUAAGCGCCGGUAAGGUGAUAUGAACCGUUAUAACCGGCGAUACCCGAAUGGGGAAACCCAGUGUGAUUCGUCACACUAUCAUUAACUGAAUCCAUAGGUUAAUGAGGCGAACCGGGGGAACUGAAACAUCUAAGUACCCCGAGGAAAAGAAAUCAACCGAGAUUCCCCCAGUAGCGGCGAGCGAACGGGGAGGAGCCCAGAGCCUGAAUCAGCAUGUGUGUUAGUGGAAGCGUCUGGAAAGGCGCGCGAUACAGGGUGACAGCCCCGUACACAAAAGCGUAUGUGCUGUGAGCUCGAUGAGUAGGGCGGGACACGUGGUAUCCUGUCUGAAUAUGGGGGGACCAUCCUCCAAGGCUAAAUACUCCUGACUGACCGAUAGUGAACCAGUACCGUGAGGGAAAGGCGAAAAGAACCCCGGCGAGGGGAGUGAAAAAGAACCUGAAACCGUGUACGUACAAGCAGUGGGAGCACCCUUUGGGGUGUGACUGCGUACCUUUUGUAUAAUGGGUCAGCGACUUAUAUUCUGUAGCAAGGUUAACCGAAUAGGGGAGCCGGAGGGAAACCGAGUCUUAAUUGGGCGUUAAGUUGCAGGGUAUAGACCCGAAACCCGGUGAUCUAGCCAUGGGCAGGUUGAAGGUUGGGUAACACUAACUGGAGGACCGAACCGACUAAUGUUGAAAAAUUAGCGGAUGACCUGUGGCUGGGGGUGAAAGGCCAAUCAAACCGGGAGAUAGCUGGUUCUCCCCGAAAGCUAUUUAGGUAGCGCCUCGUGAAUUCAUCUCCGGGGGUAGAGCACUGUUUCGGCUAGGGGGUCAUCCCGACUUACCAACCCGAUGCAAACUGCGAAUACCGGAGAAUGUUAUCACGGGAGACACACGGCGGGUGCUAACGUCCGUCGUGAAGAGGGAAACAACCCAGACCGCCAGCUAAGGUCCCAAAGUCAUGGUUAAGUGGGAAACGAUGUGGGAAGGCCCAGACAGCCAGGAUGUUGGCUUAGAAGCAGCCAUCAUUUAAAGAAAGCGUAAUAGCUCACUGGUCGAGUCGGCCUGCGCGGAAGAUGUAACGGGGCUAAACCAUGCACCGAAGCUGCGGCAGCGACACUCAGGUGUUGUUGGGUAGGGGAGCGUUCUGUAAGCCUGUGAAGGUGGCCUGUGAGGGUUGCUGGAGGUAUCAGAAGUGCGAAUGCUGACAUAAGUAACGAUAAAGCGGGUGAAAAGCCCGCUCGCCGGAAGACCAAGGGUUCCUGUCCAACGUUAAUCGGGGCAGGGUGAGUCGACCCCUAAGGCGAGGCCGAAAGGCGUAGUCGAUGGGAAACGGGUUAAUAUUCCCGUACUUGGUGUUACUGCGAAGGGGGGACGGAGAAGGCUAUGUUGGCCGGGCGACGGUUGUCCCGGUUUAAGCGUGUAGGUGUGUGUUCCAGGUAAAUCCGGUUCACUUUAACACUGAGGCGUG